AGACUCUGUGCGCGUGCAUAUCAAUAAGCGGAGGAAAAGAAACUAACUAGGAUUCCCUUAGUAACGGCGAGUGAAGCGGGAAGAGCUCGAAUUUGAAAUCUUCAAGGUUCUACCUUGACGAAUUGUAGUUUAAAGAAGUGUUUUCUGUUGGAGUUUUGGUAAAAGUUCUUUGGAAUAGGACAUCAUAGAGGGUGAGAAUCCCGUAUUUGACCAUUACUUUCCAGCUUUGUGAUACACUUUCAAAGAGUCGGAUUGUUUGGGAAUGCAGUCCAAAAUGGGUGGUAAAUUUCAUCUAAAGCUAAAUAUUGGCGAGAGACCGAUAGCGAACAAGUACCGUGAGGGAAAGAUGAAAAGAACUUUGAAAAGAGAGUUAAACAGUACGUGAAAUUGUCAAAAGGGAAGCGUUUGACACCAGUGUUGUUUUUCCGAAAAUCAAUUACGAAUGUUUUAUUUUUGAGAAGUUAUGACUUCAUCGGCUUGCUUCUCUCUUUACUGAAACUUUCUUAAUGCACUUUUCGGUUAACAAGUCAACAUCAAUUUCUUUUGUUGUAAAAGGGUAUGAGGAAGGUGGCUUUCUUUUCGGAGAAAGUGUUUAUAGCCUUGUACCUCUGCAAUCGGAGAGAUUGAGGUCUGCAGCGUAGAUCCUUCGGGGUUAGAUACAUUUGUGCUAAGUUAUAGCUUUUCAUAGACAACUUGUUGACUAUGUUUAGUCUUGUAGCUUACUCGCUUACUGCUAUUUUACCUACGCUUAGGAUGUUGAACUCUAUCACACACAG
rnacentral:rRNA from 1 species